rnacentral:rRNA from 1 species
AGGUAGGAGCUGAAGAAUCCGGGACGCCAGUUUCGGAGGAGGCAACGGUGGGAUACUACCCUUGUGACAUGACCACUCUAACCCGCACCCCUUACCGGGGUGGGAGACAGUGUCAGACGGGCAGUUUGACUGGGGCGGUCGCCUCCUAAAAUGUAACGGAGGCGCCCAAAGGUUCCCUCAGAAUGGUUGGAAAUCAUUCGAAGAGUGUAAAGGCAGAAGGGAGCUUGACUGCGAGACCUACAAGUCGAGCAGGGACGAAAGUCGGGCUUAGUGAUCCGGUGGUUCCGUAUGGAAGGGCCAU